rnacentral:tRNA from 1 species
AGGUCUGUAGCUCAGGUGGUUAGAGCGCUACCCUGAUAAGGUAGAGGUCCCCGGUUCGAGUCCGGGCAGGCCUACCA